rnacentral:rRNA from 1 species
GACGAACGCUGGCGGCGUGCUUAACACAUGCAAGUCGAACGGAAAGGCCCUGCUUUUGUGGGGUGCUCGAGUGGCGAACGGGUGAGUAACACGUGAGUAACCUGCCCUUGACUUUGUGAUAACUUCAGGAAACUGGGGCUAAUACCGGAUAGGAGCUCCUGCUGCAUGGUGGGGGUUGGAAAGUUUCGGCGGUUGGGGAUGGACUCGCGGCUUAUCAGCUUGUUGGUGGGGUAGUUGCUUACCAAGGCUUUGACGGGUAGCCGGCCUGAGAGGGUGACCGGCCACAUUGGGACUGAGAUACGGCCCAGACUCCUACGGGAGGCAGCGGUGGGGAAUAUUGCACAAUGGGCGGAAGCCUGAUGCAGCAACGCCGCGUGCGGGAUGACGGCCUUCGGGUUGUAAACCGCUUUCGCCUGUGACGAAGCGUGAGUGACGGUAAUGGGUAAAGAAGCACCGGCUAACUACGUG